rnacentral:sRNA from 1 species
GCCGGGCGCGGUGGCUCACGCCUGUAAUCCCAGCACUUUGGGAGGCUGAGGCAGGUGGAUCACCUGAGGUCAGGAGUUCCAGACCAGUCUGACCAACAUGGUGAAACCCUGUCUCUA